rnacentral:rRNA from 1 species
AUUGAACGCUGGCGGCAUGCUUUACACAUGCAAGUCGAACGGUAACAGGCCGCAAGGUGCUGACGAGUGGCGAACGGGUGAGUAAUGCAUCGGAACGUGCCCGGUCGUGGGGGAUAACGCAGCGAAAGCUGCGCUAAUACCGCAUACGAUCUGAGGAUGAAAGGGGGGGACCGUAAGGCCUCGACGCAUCGGAGCGGCCGAUGUCAGGUUAGGUAGUUGGUGGGGUAAAGGCUCACCAAGCCGACGAUCUGUAGCUGGUCUGAGAGGACGACCAGCCACACUGGGACUGAGACACGGCCCAGACUCCUACGGGAGGCAGCAGUGGGGAAUUUUGGACAAUGGGCGAAAGCCUGAUCCAGCAAUGCCGCGUGCAGGAAGAAGGCCUUCGGGUUGUAAACUGCUUUUGUACGGAGCGAAAAGGCCCUCUCUAAUACAGGGGGCUCAUGACGGUACCGUAAGAAUAAGCACCGGCUAACUACGUGCCAGCCGCCGCUGUAAUAC